rnacentral:misc_RNA from 1 species
GAAAUGCGAUAAGUAAUGUGAAUUGCAGAAUUCAGUGAAUCAUCGAAUCUUUGAACGCACAUUGCGCCCGCCAGAAUUCUGGCGGGCAUGCCUGUUCGAGCGUCAUUUCAACCCUCGAGCUCCCCUUUCGGUGGGAGCCCGGCGUUGGGGACCCGGCGCUAACAACGCCGGCCCCGAAAUGGAGUGGCGGCCCGUCCGCGGCGACCUCUGCGUAGUAACAACCACUCGCACCGGGACCCGGGCGCGGCCACGCCGUAAAACACCCCACCUUCCGAAUGUUGACCUCGAAUCAGGUAGGAAUACCCGCUGAACUUAAGC